ACUCCUACGGGAGGCAGCAGUGGGGAAUAUUGCGCAAUGGGCGGAAGCCUGACGCAGCCAUGCCGCGUGUGUGAAGAAGGCCUUAGGGGUUGUAAAGCACUUUCAAUUGGGGAAGAAAAGCUCAUGCCUAAUACGUAUGAGCCCUGACAUUACCUUUAGAAGAAGCACCGGCUAACUCCGUGCCAGCAGCCGCGGUAAUACGGAGGGUGCGAGCGUUAAUCGGAAUUACUGGGCGUAAAGCGCGCGUAGGCGGUUUGUUAAGUCGGAUGUGAAAGCCCCCGGGGCUCAACCUGGGAACUGCACCCGAUACUGGCCGACUAGAGUACGAGAGAGGAGGUAGAAUUCCAUGUGUAGCGGUGAAAUGCGUAGAUAUAUGGAGGAAUACCAGUGGCGAAGGCGGCCUCCUGGCUCGAUACUGACGCUGAGGUGCGAAAGCGUGGGAGCAAACAGGAUUAGAUACCCCUGGUAGACUGUCA
rnacentral:rRNA from 1 species